rnacentral:rRNA from 1 species
GACGGAGGAGGCAAGCGUUAUCCGGAAUUCUUGGGCGUAACGGGUACGUAGGCGGCUGGUCAAGUCUGGGGUCAAAGGCCACAGCUCAACUGUGGGAAGGCCCUGGAAACUGACCGGCUAGAGUGAGGUAGGGGUUGCGGGAAUUCCCGGUGUAGCGGUGAAAUGCGUAGAGAUCGGGAAGAACACCUGAGGCGGAAGCGCGCAACUGGGCCUCAACUGACGCUGAGGUACGAAAGCUAGGUGAGCGAAUGGG